rnacentral:rRNA from 1 species
AACAAGGUUUCCGUAGGUGAACCUGCGGAAGGAUCAUUGACGAGCCCUGAGACCACCGCGAACGCGUUAUUGGAAAAACAAGCGUCGAGCGCUUGCGGGUGAGCCGUCGCCCUCCCGCGCCGCUCGGCGCGACACGGGCCACUGCGCCCGUGCAACCCAAACCCACAAGGCGCGGAUAGCGCCAAGGAUCACGAAAUGGCGGAGCGCGGCGCCGGUUGGCCGGUGGCGAUGUACGCGUAUGCAGCAUCGCCCGGGUCACGCGGCGCCCGUUCCGGAUGGUGCGCGACGAGCGCCCCUAAGUCAUAGAACGACUCUCGGCAACGGAUAUCUCGGCUCUCGCAUCGAUGAAGAACGUAGCGAAAUGCGAUACUUGGUGUGAAUUGCAGAAUCCCGUGAACCAUCGAGUCUUUGAACGCAAGUUGCGCCCGAAGCGAUCUCGCCGAGGGCACGCCUGCCUGGGCGUCACGCAUCGCGUCGCAGCCCUCCCCUCGCACACGUCGCGUUGGGCGGGGGCGGACACUGGCCUCCCGUGCGCUGCGGAUCGCGCGGCCGGCCGAAAUGAGGUCCCCCGCUGCUGGGCGCCACGAGCAUUGGUGGUUGGUAACGCAACUUCGCAUGCCGUGGCGUGCCAGGAGCUGGCACCAUCAGCGAGAAGACCCCCCGCGGCGACAGCGUCGCCUUCGACCGCGACCCCAGGUCAGGCGGGAUCACCCGCUGAGUUUAAGCAUAUCA